rnacentral:rRNA from 1 species
CGCGUAGGCGGGUUUGUUUAAGUCGGAUGUGAAAGCCCCGGGCCUCAACCUGGGAAUUGCAUUCGAUACUGGCCGACUAGAGUACGAGAGAGGGAGGUAGAAUUCCACGUGUAGCGGUGAAAUGCGUAGAUAUGUGGAGGAAUACCGGUGGCGAAGGCGGCCUCCUGGCUCGAUACUGACGCUGAGGUGCGAAAGCGUGGGUAGCAAACA